CCCCUCCCUUCGAGGUACCGCCGCCGCCGCCGCCAUCUCCCCUUCGCGGCACUUCCAAGUUCUUCUCUGAGGUUAAUGUGGCUGACAAUCUCCAGUCAUCACUAAAGGUGGAUGACUAUGUGGUCGAACAAGUUGAACCUGAAAGCUCAACACGCAACCACGACUCUAUUUUCCUUGCGAAUUUGAAAGAUCCUGGAAAUUGGGGAAAUGUUGAUCAAAAGACAAUGGAUUACUUAGUUGAAAACUUGAAAUGAGUCCUCAAAAAGUUGAAGGCAUAGUGUAUCCUGUCAAUGAAAAUGGUAGGCACUUAAUUUGAUUCAUCAUAGUAUACAAGGAUAUUGCCAAAUGGACAAAAAUAUGAUCGAAGAUGGCUAGUUUAUUCAACUACUUUGGACCUAAUCUUUUAUUUUUGUCGUAAGUUGUUUAUAACUCAACAAACAGUCAAUAAGAUCGGGAUGCUAGCUACUGAGGGAUUGUGCAACUACAAAUUGAUAAGGAAAAACAACAUUGGAAAAAAGUGUUGAGAAGAAUAAUUAUAAUUGUGAAGCGACUAGCUAAAAACAAUUUACCUUUUCAAGGAGAUAGUGGAAAACUUUUUGUUGAGAAUAAUGGCUUGUUUUUGCAAAUGAUAGAAAUGAUGGUCGAGGUUGAUCCAGUACUACAGGAGCAUGCACGGCGAGCUGAAGCACAUGAAAUAAGGUGUACAUACUUCAGUCAUAAAAUUCAAAAUAAAUUUAUACAGCUUUUAGCAGGUGAAGUUAGAAGUGUGAUACUAAAAAAUGUGAAACAUGCAAAAUAUUAUUCAAUCAUACUUUACUGUACUCCAGAUGCAAGCCAUGAGGAACAUGUGUCUUUAGUUAUACGAUGUGUGGAUGAUUCCACAAACUUACCAACUUUAGAAGAAUUUUGGAUUGAAUUUUUGAAGGUGGAUGAUACUACCGAACUCGGACUUUCAACAGAGUUAAUCAAUACACUUGAAAAACUUGAUCUGGAUGUGAAUGAUAUAAGAGGUCAAGGAUAUGACAAUGGAUCAAACAUGAGUGGAAGACAUAAAGGUGUACAAAGAAGAUUAAUCGAGUUGAAUCCAAGAGCAUUUU
rnacentral:lncRNA from 1 species